rnacentral:rRNA from 1 species
GUAGUCUCGCACAGAUGCAUAUCAAUAAGCGGAGGAAAAGAAACUAACAAGGAUUCCCUCAGUAACGGCGAGUGAAGCGGGAAGAGCUCAAAUUUGAAAUCUUGAAAGGUCACCUUUCACGAAUUGUAGUUUAAAGAAGUGUUUUCUGUUACGAUCGUAAUAUAAGUUCUUUGGAAUAGGACAUCACAGAGGGUGAGAAUCCCGUCUAUGAUUGCGAUUUGUAGCUUUGUGAUACACUUUCAAAGAGUCGGGUUGUUUGGGAAUGCAGCCCAAAACGGGAGGUAAAUUUCUUCUAAGGCUAAAUAUUGGCGAGAGACCGAUAGCGAACAAGUACCGUGAGGGAAAGAUGAAAAGAACUUUGAAAAGAGAGUUAAAUAGUACGUGAAAUUGUCAAAAGGGAAGCGUUUAACACCAGUGUUGUUUUCUGAAAAUCAACCUCUGUUAGCUUUAUGCAUGUUUGUUUAGACCUAAUCAGCUAUCUUGCAUGUUCUAUUGUUUGCAGUGGUGCACUUUUCAGUUUACAGGUCAACAUCAGUUUUUUUUACCGUAAAAAAGUUAAAGAAAGGUAGCUCAUGGCUCUGGUCGUGAGUGUUAUAGUCUUUUUCCUAUGCGGUAGGAGAGACUGAGGUCUGCAGUGUAGGCUAUUUGGCUAGAUACUCAGGUGCUAUGUGAUACCAUUUCAUAAACAACUUGUUGAUUAUGUUUUGUCUAUUGCAUACUCGCUUGUACUAUCAUACCUACGCUUAGGAUGUUGAGUCGUAGAGCACGCAG